UACGUAGGUGACCAGCGUUGUCCGGAUUUACUGGGCGUAAAGAGCGCGCAGGCGGUCGUUCAAGUCGAGUGUGAAAGCCCCCGGCUCAACUGGGGAGGGUCAUUCGAUACUGAUCGACUCGAAGGCAGGAGAGGGAAGCGGAAUUCCCGGUGUAGUGGUGAAAUGCGUAGAUAUCGGGAGGAACACCAGUGGCGAAGGCGGCUUCCUGGCCUGUUCUUGACGCUGAGGCACGAAGGUCAGGGGAGCAAACGGG
rnacentral:rRNA from 1 species